rnacentral:rRNA from 1 species
UACGUAGGGUGCGAGCGUUGUCCGGAAUUAUUGGGCGUAAAGAGCUCGUAGGCGGUCUGUCGCGUCGGUCGUGAAAACCUGCAGCUUAACUGUGGGCGUGCGGUCGAUACGGGCAUGACUGGAGUUCGGCAGGGGAGACUGGAAUUCCUGGUGUAGCGGUGAAAUGCGCAGAUAUCAGGAGGAACACCGGUGGCGAAGGCGGGUCUCUGGGACGGUACUGACGCUGAGACGCGAAAGCGUGGGGAGCGAACAGG